GAGCGCACCGAACAUGCGAGUGAAGCCACCAAAGCGAAUACAAAAUCAAAAGCGAAUACAAAGUCGCAGCAGUGCUAAAGAUAGCGUCGUAUUGUUUAAACGUCUCGAGUGAUUCAUUAUUUUGUGUCAAAAAAUGCCGUCUUGUGUUAUUAAACAUUGUGAAAGUUGUUCCCAAAAAUAAAAAAAAGAGGAUGGAAUUUCAUUUCACAGAUUACCGACAGAUGUUGUUCUACGCGAGGAAUGGGUUUCUAUUAUUCGCCAAAGCAGGCAAGACAAUAAUUGGCAGGCUUCAAAAUUUUGCGUUGUGUGUUCAUUACAUUUUAAAGAGGAUAGCUUAUGCUUUACCGAAAAAUGUCGUUGGUUGAUAAAAAAAAAAUCCAAUGUAAUUAUUUGUAAUACUAUCUAAUCUUUUGGUCUAGUCUUUAAGUUGUCUGUAUAUCGAUGUAUGUGUGUGUGUGUGAAUAAAUGAUGAUGAUGAUGAUUAUUAUUAUUAUUAUUAAUAAAUAUUUUAAAUUAUGUAUUUUUUUUUAAUUUGUCUAAUGAAAUAAAUAUGA
rnacentral:misc_RNA from 1 species